UACGUAGGGGGCAAGCGUUGUCCGGAUUUACUGGGCGUAAAGAGCGUGUAGGCGGCCACGCAGGUCCGUUGUGAAAACUGGAGGCUCAACCUCCAGCUGUCGACGGAAACCGUAUGGCUAGAGUCCGGAAGAGGAGAGUGGAAUUCCUGGUGUAGCGGUGAAAUGCGCAGAUAUCAGGAGGAACACCGAUGGCGAAGGCAGGUCUCUGGGCCACUACUGACGCUGAGACGCGAAAGCGUGGGGAGCGAACAGG
rnacentral:rRNA from 1 species